GGGGCUGAGCGGGGGUUGGCAGAGCAGACAGGCCUUCUCCGCUGGCUGAGAACAAAACCACCGGCAGCGAGGAAAAUAUGUGCGAGGCAUUUUUGCAAUUCCAAGAGGCUCGGUCCAGCUCUCGCCCAGACGGUCAAUGAAUCAAAGCUGGGAAAGGCUCUACCUGUCAGCAGACUUUCUCCUGGCCCUGCUCACCAAGGCCCCACCCCUCUGGCCCCAGCAGGCCAGCUGGAACCCUCCCAGUUCCCCAGAAGGACGGUUCUUCGAAGAAGAGUGUGUCACAAGCAAAAGCCAGAGGCAGGCAGCCCACGGGCAGAACCCUUGGCAUCCUUCUCUGCCUGUUCUUCUCGCAGGAGCGUAGCCUGUGUCGCCUGUUACCUUGGGUUGAAUGGUGGCUCCCGAAAAGAUAUUUCCACGUCCUGGUCCUUGGAACCUGUGAAGGUGUCCUUAUUUGGAAACAGAAUCUUUGCAGAUUAAUUAAGUUAAAGAUCUCGAGGUGAGAGCAUCCCAGAUUAUCUGAGUGAGCCCCAAAUCCAAGGACAAGUGUCCCUAUAAGAGACAAAGAGGAAAGAAGAGGAGAAGACCAUGGGAAGGUGGAGGCCGAAAUCGGAGUGAUGCGGCCACAAGCCAAGGAAUGCCUGGGGCCACCAGAAGCUGGAAGAGCCUCAGAGACUCACAGCUUCAGAGAUAGGAGAGUUUUUGUGGGAAUCCAGGCCCAGAGAGGAGCAGCGGCUUACUUGAGGGAAUACAGCCAGGACUCAGCCCAGAAUCACCUACUCCAGGAAGCCUUACUGGAUUGCCUUUCCCUUUGCUCCAGCUCCCCAUCCCCAGGUGAGAGAUGUUCCCCUCCCUUCCCACAGCUGUAGACUCAUGUGGUCUCAUGUGGAAAAUUUACUUUCACACCAGGACCCCAGUGACUGUCCUUAGUCAGCCCUACCCACCAGGCAGUCCCCUCCCCUUGCCCGGCCUAGGAUUACUGGUGUCGUGAAUGGAAUUCUUUGCUUCUCUGCCCUCCCUCAUUGUGAGCUCCUUAAACUCUGCACCUUAAAUCUUUUCUUUUUAAACAGCUUUAUUGAGAGAGAAUUCACGCACCAUACAAUUCAGCCAUUUAAACGAUUUUUAGUGUAUUCACAGGUAUGUACAACCAUCACACAGUUGAUUUUAGAACAUUUUCAUCACCUCAAAAAGAAACCCCAGAGCCAGGCCUGAUUGCCCAGUGGUUACAGUUCAGCGCUCUCCACUUCAGUGGCCAAAGUUUGGUUCCUGGGUGCGGAACCACACCACUUGUCUGUCAGCAGCCAUGCUGUGGUGGCAGCUCACAUACAAGAACUAGAAGGACUUACAACAAGAAUACACAACUACGUACUGGGGCUUUGGGGAAGAAAAGAAAAAAAAUAGAAACCCCUUACUCGUUGGCUCUUGGCCACCCUCAACCCUGAGCACUAAUCUCCUUUCCGUUUCUAUGGAUUUCCCCAUUCCAGACAUUUCUAUGAAUGAGAUCAAAGAAUAUGCGGACUUUUGUGACUGGCUUCUUUCACUUAGAAUAACAUUUUCAAGGUUCAUCUAUGUUGUGGUAGGUAUCAGACUUCAUUCUUCUUUUAAUGGCUGAAUAAUAUUCCAUCAUACAGAUAGACCACUGUUGUUUGCCCCUUUGGGUUGUCUCCACCUUUUGGUUAUUAUGAAUAACGCUGCUAUGAACAUUCCAGUACAAGUUUUUGUGUGGACGUAUGUUUUCAUUUCCCUUGGGUAUACACCUAGGAGAGGCAUCACUGGGUCGUGUGGUAAUUCUAUGAUUAAUUGUUUGAGGAACUGACUGUUUUCCAAAGUAGCUGCACCAUUUGACACUCCCAUCGCAGCGGAUGAGUGUUCUCAUUUCUCCGCAUCCUCUCCAACCCUUGUUAUCACUUGCCUUUGAUUCUAGCCACCCGAGCAGGUGUGGAGUGGGGAGCUUCACACCUUUUCAUUGCCAGGCAGCAAGGCGUGGUGACGGAGCCCUGAAGACAGACCCAGGGCUGGAAGCCCAACUCUUCACUUCUGUUGGGUCUUUCUGCCUCGCUGAGCCUCAUCAUUCUCUUCUGUGGAAUGGAACCACAGCACGUGGAUGAGAGACAGUGAAUGUAAGGUGUUUAGCAUAGUUGCUGGCAUACAACACAUGCUCAAUAAAUGUGAACUAUAAUAACAGCUACAGUGCUCACUCCAAAAACCUUGCACAGUUUCUGGCACACCGUAGGCCCUCGUGGGUGUGGGUGGAGUAACUGAUGGCAAGUGUGCCCCGGGAAGGGCGCCAGCUGAGGGCCUGGGCAGGCCUGGAGGGGGCCCUGGGAGGAGCUCACAGCCUCUGGCUCAGGGGCCCCUUGGCCAGAGCCCUGUCCAGCCCAGCUCUUGUCUGGCAUGGGGAGCAGUUUUAUUUCUACAGGCGUUUUGCGACUCAGCACAUGUAAGCUUCCUCCUGAUGGUUUGAAUUAGAAAGCAGCUGAUGCCUUCUGGAAAACCCAGGGAAAAACAUUAUUGUUGGAGGCCAGUCUCCUCAUUGGCAGAGCCGACUGCACUGGUCUGGCAUUCCGGAGCACAAAAGCCUUCGCCGGCAAAAUCGGAGCCUUCCCAUCGGGGCUCCCCUCCUCUCCGCCCUCCCUCUCAUCCAGCCCUGGCUGGGCCUGGCAAGUGCUGGCUGCCGGAUGGGAGUCAGGACAAGAAUCCUCUGGCUGUCUAGGCCCGUCCACUCCAGCAGCAAGUUGGUGGACGAGGUCUGACUCAACUCCCAGCCUGGCAAAUGUCUGGGGUCUGGCGUGCAGACGAAGGUGGUACCCACUGCAGGGAACAGGGCCAGGAGGAAGGUGGCAACAGGCUGGCUAGACACGGAGAUCGGAAAAGGAGAGAGUGUUACUGCUCUUAUUGGACGAAUGAGGAAACUGAGGCUCAGAGAGGUGAUGUCAGCUGCCCACGGUCACAGAGCCAGCAAGUGGUAGCCUGAGGACUAGACCCCAGGCCUGCUCUGAGGCCCACCUUGCCUUUUUGCACUGAGAAUGGGGGUAAAAGCACUUUGUGAACCAAAAGGCAUGGUAUACCUGGGAGGGUUUUAAAUACCAUUCCUAUUGCUGUUUUCCUGGGGAGGUGGUCAGAAGCUGGCAUGGCCUCCCCUCCAGCCGGCCAUCGGCCUUGCUGCAGCUUCUGCUUGGUCACCAACAGUUCGAGCCACAUGACCAGGGCUGCCUUAUCUCCUCGAGGGUGGCAGGCCCCUGUUCCCAGAAGCCCGGCUUCAGAUGGGCAGCAGCGAUUGUAGAGAUCUGCAGGGCCCCGAUAAAGCCGCUGCAGCAGGGGACAGACGGAUGGAAGUUCCCCUCAUGCCACUUCCUUCAGUGGCUGGUAUGGCCCCAGCUCCUUAAGCUCUUCCACUUCCUCACAAGGAUAGGGGCCCGGAGUGGCCAACAGAGCUCAGUGGGGUUCAGUCCCCAGUAACCCGCCCCCAUUCCUGGCAUCCCCCCUUCACGGCCCUGGGUCUAGGACCCUGGCCAUGAGGGUGCUCUUGUCUCCACCCCAGGGAGUGUUGGGACGAGCAGACGAGGUGACACUCGAUGUGCACGCGAGAGGCUGACGCUCUUUAUCCAUCUCCCCAGUCCGUGUGCCUUAGCCAUGUUGUCCCUCUUCUUUUCUGUGAUCUUUCCAAACCCUGCCCCUCCUAUAAGGGUGAGUCUGAAUGUCACCUUCUCCCCAAAGCUGUCCUGGACCUCCUCUGGCCUGUCACCUCCUGUGCUUCCUCUCGCAGCAUUGGAAUCGGCCCCUUCAGAGAAUAAAAGGACGGGAAGGAUGGCUAUCCACGUGCUGAGCCACAAAUGACUUUGACACUUUUCCCCUGCUGUGUAUGUGUUUGCGUCCCAUCUUUUCUGCACUGUGCAUAAUUUCCUUGUAUAAUUAGAAAAGAAUUCCAAAUAAAUGCUAUUGUCGAGAAGGAUCUGCUCCACUUGGUGGAACGCUUCAUUGAAACCAUGAGCCUUGCGUCUGUCAGUGCUGCGUUGACCGUGGUGGUCCAGGCAGUGGGUCUUACACCUGAUGCCCUGUGCACACCCACUCACCAUGGGACACGGAGCAGCAAUUCAUUCCCUUCGGGUGUGACUCUCACGAACUCACCAGCCUCACCUUUGUCCGCUCCAGCCCCGGGGACAUCCACCACUAUCUGUUGGAGGUGUCCCCGGAGUCCUCACCCACUCUCCCAUUUCCAAGGUCCAAGAUGCUGUCACAGUGCAGCUCAAAUUCCAUCUCCUCUGGGCUUCCUGGCCAUGCCUGCCCUGAGCCCGGCUCCUUCUUGGCCUCAGGUUGCUGAUUAACUGCCUCCCCCGCUAGACCGUAAGUUCCUUAGGAACAGGGGACACAUCCCACACCUCCCCGCCUCCCAGCGCCUGGCAUGGAGCCCGGCACACAGCAGAGCAGGUGCUCAGGAAGAAGUCGAGUGCAGGAACCCUAAGAGUGAUGAUCACGGUUAUGAUGAUGGCAGCCACUGUUUCCCGGACACUGACCUUGAACCUCCACCGCUCAGCUCGUUACCUGGAUUAUGUCAUGUAACCCCCAGCAACCUAGAGACUCAGGUGCUGAUAAGUGCAUCUUACAGAGGAGAAAAGGCAACCGUGAAAGGAAGGCCUGGACAUCAGACUGUGUGCUGGGGGCGGGAUGCUGGGGUGGCGAACCACCUCCUCCUGCCUUAGUUUCCUCUGCUGUACAGGGGCCUGACACCUGUGCUCCUUUCCUCCCUCCAGGGGGCUGUCGGGGUCGAACAGGACAGCGAGCACGUCAUCGAGUGCAAACAGCUGCAUAAAUGCAUGGCGUGGUGGAUCAGAGCCAAGCUGCCGCCCAGGCUGUGCCCUCUGCCUGGAAUGCUGUCCCACUCCGCUCACCUGACCCAGACCCACCCUUCAGCUUUGAGCUGAGCUGUCAGCCCCCUGGGGCAGCCUCCCCAGCUCCCAACCCUGGUCCGUGCCCAUUAGAGGCUGGCAGAGCCCUAACCUCCAUGGUGGUCUCAUCUUUGCUCUAAUGAAACAAUUAACCACAUAAUUAUGACAUCCGCCUCUCCUGCCAGGCCCAUGGCUGCAUGGGACAGGGAGAGCCCUUUCCCAUUUGGGCCACAUCCUGGGGCCAGACACUUGGCUGAGCACGCAGGUGGAGCUCAGGGAAGGCUCGCCAACUGUCAGAAUGAAUGGAAGGAGGGAACGGGUGGACAUUUCAUUCAGCCCCAUCCCUCACCCAAGCUCAGCCUGGCUGUGCUGUGAGCCUUGCUGGGUUCAGCUGAGGAAGCUAAUUUGUUCUAAAAUGUUAGGAGUAUGUGGUCUACGAGCUCUGGAGCCAGAUGGAGUCUGAGUCCCAGCUCCACCACUUCUUAGCUGUGUGAUGCUGAGGCAGUGCUGAAUCUCUCUGGGACUAACUAUAAAACCGGGAUAAUAACAGUGCCUCAUUGGUGCUAUUGAUACGAGGCUUCUAUGAGUUAGAGAUUACAAUGAGUAUGACUGUAAUUAUUAUUAUUAUUGCUGGUAAUGACUCAAAGGAUUCCUCCUCCCAAUUAAUAUCUUUGUCCUGUAACAGCAGGGGCCCAGGUCUUGACAGGGUUGGAAAGGCCUGGGAAGGGAGCCAGGAGCCCGGAGCUCCAGCUCAGUGGCUGGGCUGUGUGACCAGGAGGAAGUCGCUCCAUCCCUCCCGCUAGCGAGAUGACUAACACCGGCAGCAAUCACAUUUCCUAAUUCGCUCCCUCACAGGGCUGUGGGGGAAGAUCAAACAGCGACAUGAAUGAGAACUAUUCUUUCUGCAAAUAUUUGUUGAACACCUACUGUGUUCCAGGGCUUGAAGAGGACCAGACAGUGAACAAGAUCCCAGGAGCCAGAAAGGAAGGGAUUACUACGAAGCCAGCAAGUUCUCUAGAACGAAAGUUCUGCUCAAGCGGGGGGCAGGUGGCAGCUGAGGCAUCUCUGUGAGUCUGAGUCCAACCUGAGUUCCGCGGAGAAGGUCCUCCCGCCUGCCUCCUUCUAGGGUGCGAUCGGGGCACCUCUCCCCUUCUCGAAGCCUCUGAAUCUUUAUUUAUGAAACAGGCUUGGAGGUGGGCAUAAAAUAUACCUUCGUCACCAAGCUGGUGCAAAGAUGAAGAGAGUUCACACGUGUGAGGGCUUAGCACCGAGCCAGACACGGCUGUCUGUCACUGGAUGGUGAUUAUUGUCAACGCCGUGACCUUGCCGCCUGACCCUCAGCUGGCACCUGGGGUCCGUGAGUGAGAU
ensembl:lncRNA